UUGGAGGGCAAGUCUGGUGCCAGCAGCCGCGGUAAUUCCAGCUCCAAUAGCGUAUAUUAAAGUUGUUGCAGUUAAAAUGCUCGUAGUUGAAUUUCGGGGUUAGUAGGUUGGUCAUGCCUCUGGUAUGUACUGGUCUCACUGAUUCCUCCUUCCUGAUGAGCCGUAAUGCCAUUAAUUUGGUAUUGCGGGGAAUUUGGACUGUUACUUUGAAAAAAUUAGAGUGUUUAAAGCAAGCUAACGCUUGAAUACAUUAGCAUGGAAUAAUGAAAUAGGACGUUCGAUCCUAUUUUGUUGGUUUCUAGGAUUGACGUAAUGAUUAAUAGGGAUAGUUGGGGGCAUUAGUAUUCAAUUGUCAGAGGUGAAAUUCUUGGAUUUAUUGAAGACUAACUACUGCGAAAGCAUUUGCCAAGGAUGUUUUCAUUAAUCAAGAACGAAAGUUAGGGGAUCGAAGACGAUCAGAUACCGUCGUAGUCUUAACCAUAAACUAUGCCGACUAGGGAUCGGAUGAUGUUAAUUUUUUAAUGACUUAUUCGGCGCCUUACGGGAAAC
rnacentral:rRNA from 1 species